AGGCCCAUGGGGGGAUUGAACCCACGACCUUCGCGUUAUUAGCACGACGCUCUAACCAACUGAGCUAAUGGGCC
rnacentral:tRNA from 1 species